AAGUCGAACGGUAACAGGAAGNAGCUUGCUUCUUNGCUGACGAGUGGCGGACGGGUGAGUAAUGUCUGGGAAACUGCCUGAUGGAGGGGGAUAACUACUGGAAACGGUAGCUAAUACCGCAUAACGUCGCAAGACCAAAGAGGGGGACCUUCGGGCCUCUUGCCAUCGGAUGUGCCCAGAUGGGAUUAGCUAGUAGGUGGGGUAACGGCUCACCUAGGCGACGAUCCCUAGCUGGUCUGAGAGGAUGACCAGCCACACUGGAACUGAGACACGGUCCAGACUCCUACGGGAGGCAGCAGUGGGGAAUAUUGCACAAUGGGCGCAAGCCUGAUGCAGCCAUGCCGCGUGUAUGAAGAAGGCCUUCGGGUUGUAAAGUACUUUCAGCGGGGAGGAAGGGAGUAAAGUAAUACCU
rnacentral:rRNA from 1 species